rnacentral:rRNA from 1 species
AUCUACAGGCUUAACACAUGCAAGUCGAGGGGCAUCAGGAAGAAAGCUUGCUUUCUUUGCUGGCGACCGGCGCACGGGUGAGUAACACGUAUCCAACCUGCCCUUUACUCGGGGAUAGCCUUUCGAAAGAAAGAUUAAUACCCGAUAGCAUAAUGAUUCCGCAUGGUUUCAUUAUUAAAGGAUUCCGGUAAAGGAUGGGGAUGCGUUCCAUUAGGUUGUUGGUGAGGUAACGGCCCACCAAGCCUUCGAUGGAUAGGGGUUCUGAGAGGAAGGUCCCCCACAUUGGAACUGAGACACGGUCCAAACUCCUACGGGAGGCAGCAGUGAGGAAUAUUGGUCAAUGGGCGCUAGCCUGAACCAGCCAAGUAGCGUGAAGGAUGAAGGCUCUAUGGGUCGUAAACUUCUUUUAUAUAAGAAUAAAGUGCAGUAUGUAUACUGUUUUGUAUGUAUUAUAUGAAUAAGGAUCGGCUAACUCCGUGCCAGCAGCCGCGGUAAUACGGGGGAUCCGAGCGUUAUCCGGAUUUAUUGGGUUUAAAGGGAGCGUAGGUGGACUGGUUAGUCAGUUGUGAAAGUUUGCGGCUCAACCGUAAAAUUGCAGUUGAUACUGUCAGUCUUGAGUACAGUAGAGGUGGGCGGAAUUCGUGGUGUAGCGGUGAAAUGCUUAGAUAUCACGAAGAACUCCGAUUGCGAAGGCAGCUCACUGGACUGCAACUGACACUGAUGCUCGAAAGUGUGGGUAUCAAACAGGAUUAGAUACCCUGGUAGUCCACACAGUAAACGAUGAAUACUCGCUGUUUGCGAUAUACAGUAAGCGGCCAAGCGAAAGCAUUAAGUAUUCCACCUGGGGAGUACGCCGGCAACGGUGAAACUCAAAGGAAUUGACGGGGGCCCGCACAAGCGGAGGAACAUGUGGUUUAAUUCGAUGAUACGCGAGGAACCUUACCCGGGCUUAAAUUGCAGUGGAAUGAUGUGGAAACAUGUCAGUGAGCAAUCACCGCUGUGAAGGUGCUGCAUGGUUGUCGUCAGCUCGUGCCGUGAGGUGUCGGCUUAAGUGCCAUAACGAGCGCAACCCUUAUCUUUAGUUACUAACAGGUUAUGCUGAGGACUCUAGAGAGACUGCCGUCGUAAGAUGUGAGGAAGGUGGGGAUGACGUCAAAUCAGCACGGCCCUUACGUCCGGGGCUACACACGUGUUACAAUGGGGGGUACAGAAGGCAGCUAGCGGGUGACCGUAUGCUAAUCCCAAAAUCCUCUCUCAGUUCGGAUCGAAGUCUGCAACCCGACUUCGUGAAGCUGGAUUCGCUAGUAAUCGCGCAUCAGCCACGGCGCGGUGAAUACGUUCCCGGGCCUUGUACACACCGCCCGUCAAGCCAUGGGAGCCGGGGGUACCUGAAGUACGUAACCGCAAGGAUCGUCCUAGGGUAAAACUGGUGACUGGGGCUAA